UUUAUACCAUUUGUAUUAAUAUUGAGAGUUUAAAAAAAAUCAAAAUUACUAAUAUUUUCAAUAGAUUUAGAUUUUAAGAAAUAAAAAAUAUGCUUAUAAAUUUGAGGAUUUCUUGAGUUUUGUGGCAUAUGUAUAUUUAUGCAAAUUUAAGAGAUAAAAAUAUGAAAAUUUAUAAAAAUUUAUGAAAUGGAAAUAUGAUAAUAAAUUAAAUGAAAUUUAGGCAAGUCAUUUUUGUGCUUAAUGUUAAUGAAUGUACAAAAUUUGAAAUCAAUGAAGUAGUUAUAUUGA
rnacentral:lncRNA from 1 species